GGCGGGACACGUGGUAUCCUGUCUGAAUAUGGGGGGACCAUCCUCCAAGGCUAAAUACUCCUGACUGACCGAUAGUGAACCAGUACCGUGAGGGAAAGGCGAAAAGAACCCCGGCGAGGGGAGUGAAAAAGAACCUGAAACCGUGUACGUACAAGCAGUGGGAGCACGCUUAGGCGUGUGACUGCGUACCUUUUGUAUAAUGGGUCAGCGACUUAUAUUCUGUAGCAAGGUUAACCGAAUAGGGGAGCCGAAGGGAAACCGAGUCUUAACUGGGCGUUAAGUUGCAGGGUAUAGACCCGAAACCCGGUGAUCUAGCCAUGGGCAGGUUGAAGGUUGGGUAACACUAACUGGAGGACCGAACCGACUAAUGUUGAAAAAUUAGCGGAUGACUUGUGGCUGGGGGUGAAAGGCCAAUCAAACCGGGAGAUAGCUGGUUCUCCCCGAAAGCUAUUUAGGUAGCGCCUCGUGAAUUCAUCUCCGGGGGUAGAGCACUGUUUCGGCAAGGGGGUCAUCCCGACUUACCAACCCGAUGCAAACUGCGAAUACCGGAGAAUGUUAUCACGGGAGACACACGGCGGGUGCUAACGUCCGUCGUGAAGAGGGAAACAACCCAGACCGCCAGCUAAGGUCCCAAAGUCAUGGUUAAGUGGGAAACGAUGUGGGAAGGCCCAGACAGCCAGGAUGUUGGCUUAGAAGCAGCCAUCAUUUAAAGAAAGCGUAAUAGCUCACUGGUCGAGUCGGCCUGCGCGGAAGAUGUAACGGGGCUAAACCAUGCAC
rnacentral:rRNA from 1 species